rnacentral:rRNA from 1 species
GAUGAACGCUAGCGGCAGGCCUAACACAUGCAAGUCGAGGGGUAGAGGAAGCUUGCUUCCUUGAGACCGGCGCACGGGUGCGUAACGCGUAUGCAAUCUACCUUUUACAGAGGGAUAGCCCAGAGAAAUUUGGAUUAAUACCUCAUAGUAUUUUCGAAUGGCAUCAUUUGAUUAUUAAAGUACCAACGGUAAAAGAUGAGCAUGCGUCCUAUUAGCUAGAUGGUAAGGUAACGGCUUACCAUGGCAACGAUAGGUAAGAGUCCUGAGAGGGAGAUCCUCCACACUGGUACUGAGACACGGACCAGACUCCUACGGGAGGCAGCAGUGAGGAAUAUUGGACAAUGGGCGCAAGCCUGAUCCAGCCAUGCCGCGUGCAGGAAGACGCAUCUAUGGUGUGUAAACUGCUUUUGUACGGGAAGAAACACUCCCUCGUGAGGGAGCUUGACGGUACCGUAAGAAUAAGGAUCGGCUAACUCCGUGCCAGCCGCCGCGGUAAGAC